AGGAUCUAAAUCCGCAUCGAAAUGAUCCAGCUCCUGGUUCUUCUUCUGUCUUCCACGCUUUGGAGCAACUAAAUUUUUAAGUCAACCAGCUUUUCAUGUGACAGAGGUAUUGGUUCAUUCGCAAUAGGAUUGAGUACCGGCAAAGAAAGACUUUUAUUCCGAAAAAUGUUCGUAUCACCCAUUACAAAAACGUCAUAGUCAUCGACUUGCACGUUCGUUUUGUAGUACACAUGUCCUGGAGAAGUACUACGAUACUCAAACAGGAAGAUGUCUUUGAAUUUCAAUGGUUUGCCGUUCAUGUUUUGUUUUGGCCGAUGAUAACGUUGGUAAAGGGAUUUUAGUCCCAGGAAUUGCGACUGCUCGAGUUCGACAACUUCGAAGGGAACUUUUCGCUUAAUUUGUGAAAUAAAUACGGCCCAAUCUCUUGGCGUUUCUA